AAUAUUACAGUAGGCAUACGCGUUGACAGAAUAUCAACACGUCAAAAAGAACGUUGAUAUCUCUGAAAACCGAUUUAAACAGAGACCGUAUCAAAAUAAUCAAUUUGUGCAAUGAAUCAACAAGUAAUAGAUACAUAAUGGGUACGAGUGAUGUAUCGGAUAUAUCACACGAGUGCGUAGCACGAGUGUGAUAUAUGCGAUACGUCACGAGUACCCAUUUUGUAUCUGUUUUAUCCAAUGACAGCCGAGGUUUUGUCACCCACGUGCCUAGGGGUGGAGCUAUACAAUUGAUAAAAACCUGUCACUGUGAUAUGUUUCCCGCCAAUUUCUGACACGUUUCAUUCUGUCACAGUAGCCUAUUCAUUUCUAGUGAGACUGUCAACCAUGGCGGAUCAGGUACUGAUCAUUGAUGUCGAUGUGUUUGCCGACCUCGACCAAGUAUGAGUAGGAACUGGAAGAUAGUGACACGGUAGCUACUGACAUUGGAUUAUUUGAUACCAAGGAAUUAACGCAACCAAUUGUUGUAAAUAAACUGAAUGGUAAUGUGAAAAACAUGUGAAAGACUGCAGGAUUCGAGGGAAAUUACACAAACGGUAACUGCUCCGGAAAGAGGACCUGCGCUACUUCCCUUUACCAAGCAGGUUUUAAUGAACAACUCAAUAUGGACAGGACGGAACAUCACAGCAGGGCUGUACGUGCAUACAAUGUGAAGAAAGAAGACAAACAAAGAACAUUUCUAAACGGCACUCGUAUUUCAUUAAAUUUUGUUUAAAAUGUA